rnacentral:rRNA from 1 species
CGAACGCUGGCGGCGUGUCUUAAGCAUGCAAGUCGAGCGGCAAGCGCAGCAAUGCGCCUAGAGCGGCGGACUGGUGAGUAACACGUGGGUGAUCUACCUCGGGGAUGGGGAUAGCCAUUAGAAAUAGUGGGUAAUACCGAAUACGCUUCCAUGACUGCGGUUGUGGAAGGAAAGGCGCUACGGCGCCGACCUGAGAUGAGCCCGCGCCCCAUUAGCUGGUUGGUGAGGUAAUGGCCCACCAAGGCUAUGAUGGGUAGGCGGCCUGAGAGGGUGUACGCCCACAUUGGGACUGAGAUACGGCCCAAACUCCUACGGGAGGCAGCAGCUAAGAAUAUUCCGCAAUGGACGAAAGUCUGACGGAGCGACGCCGCGUGGAUGAUGAAGGCCGGAAGGUUGUAAAAUCCUUUUAUAUGUCAAGAAAAUGACGGUAGCAUAUGAAUAAGCACCGGCUAACUCCGU